CGCAGGAUGUUCAAGAAAAAAUGCACGUCAAAGGAAUCGCAAACAGUCGGGAAAGGUGACGUCAAGAAGCUGAGGGCCGAUGUCGUGAGCGUCAUAGGAAAAGACAACGCAGAUAAGUUCGAUCUAGUUGUCGGUAAAAAAGAUACGAUCACGAAACGAAAGUACCGAUGCGGGCCUGGAUCGUCGGUCUUUGUAUACUCUGUCGAUGAGGUACCGUUUUUUAUUUCGAUUGAUCGCCUAGGCAAGGAAGAGCAGGACGUCAUUACACAAGCGGAUUCUUUCAGGUUCCUUAUGAUUCCCACUGUCUUCUUCUUUCUACGGCUGCACCAGCUGCUGGCCGAGAGAGGUGACGAGUGGGCAAGCCUUGUAAAUGAAGGCGUCGUUGCUACUGUUUGCCGCGGCUCGACUUCUAGAUUUCUUCUUAGGGGGGCACACUUGAUGAUGCCAGGCAUUCUGAGCACUCGGAAAAAAACGCCAUUGGUAGUCGGGGAUGUAGCGCUCAUUUACUCUCUCGGUGUCGAUGUUCCAUACGCAGUUGGAAUUGUGACCAGCAACAUGACAGCGAAGCAGGAUGCGGGCGUUGGUGUAUUUGUAGUACAGUGCUUCCACGACAACCUCUGGCAAGAAUUCGAGAAUCGUUUUAUUACGAACUGCAGCCUCUCUUCUCAAUUGCCUUUGAUUCCGUCUGAGUUUGGGGAAGACGAAGUUCGUGAAAGGUUACUCGAGGUGGGCUCUGCGACUAAGGAUAACGAAAAGACAGACGAUGAAGUUUCAAGCAACGAGGCUGCUGAAUGGAAAGAGACGCCAGGUGUGGAUUACGCCAAUGUCUUUUCGGACGAAGACACAAUGCUGAACUUUUGUCUCUGCGAAGCCGUGAAGCGAGUCUCACCCUCGCUCUUGCCCAUGCCGGUGACGCAGUUCACGAGCAUUGUGGUCGCCUCGUACCCAAGAGACGGCGCCCACACUUCUGCAAUCCAGUUCAAAGAUACGAAAUACAAGAAAGCGCUUGCAUUUUUUCACGGGUUCCCGGAUCUUCUCACCAUAGCCGAAACAAGCCCUGGUACUCAUUCUGUCACUCAAAUAAACAAAUCUGCCGAUGUGAUGCGACAACACAACGCGCUCUACGUAGAUUUUCUCAGCACGAUGCAUCGGGAAAGGUGUGAAAAGGAGGCGCAAGCACUGCAAGCCAAACUCCUUGCCGAGGGGACAGGUGUGUUCCGUCAAUACAUCGUGUCUGCCGAUGUUUUCUACGCUGCACCUCGUGGAUUGGAGGACGAUCUUAUACGUAUCCUGCUGAUAGGCGAGGGGCUGAACAUUCCACGUGACGCUCUGUUUCCUACAAUCGAACAGGUUGCCACCGGUACGGUUCCCGUUUUUCCUAGGACCCCCAUUGGUGACAGCGUUCUCCAAGAAUUGUACACGCGGAAAACACUAGUGAACAAUUUGAAAAACUACAUAAAAGCGCACAAUUUGCUGAUUGUGAACGAGGCGGAAAAGUGCAAACUACCCAGUGUAAAAAUCGACGAUACGCUAUCGAUGAUGCUCACCUCAAAGGCAUACGCCCCUGAGAUACCGCUCGACCAAGUUGUGCAAGGUAUGCUAAGUUUGUUCAAGCUGAAGCACGAAAUUAUUUUGCAAACUGUUGUGGAGGGCUCAUCACUGGCUAGCGGUAACUUGAAUCCGAAGCGGAUAAUCAAAAACGGACCACUCCCGAAAGUCCGUUUGUGGUCUGAGAAGUCGACAAACAACAAGUUCAUUACAGUUGUGCAGAGUUUGGAGUCUUUUGGUUUUGAUCUUCAGAUGCUCGCCGAUCAAUGGAAAAAGCAGUUUUGUACGAGCUCUGGCGUCGUUGACCCGUCGACGAAGAUGAAAAAUCUGAAGUCUGGGACGAAAAUACCACUCGAAAUCCAUUUGCAAGGCAAUUUCCAAGUGCAGGUCGCGGCUGCACUCCUGAAUGAAGCAAAUUUUCCAUCGUCGCAGCUGGUUUGCAAAAAAAGGUAAGGGCGUGAUUUGAGCUUUUUGCCAUUUUUUUUUCAAUUGCGGUUGCUCUGUAUUGUUGUUGGAUUUUUUUUUCACGAUUCGCGAGGUUCCACACUACUUAUUUUUCGAUUUUACUUUGCUCUGAAUGGAAAAAUGAUCUUGAGCAACAAAUUCUCUACUUGCAUUUUUGCUUGUAAUGUGCAAGUUUUCACAGGCAUAGAGCGUUUUGCAAAAUGGUUGAGAACUGAACAAAAGGGGAAACAGUGCUGUGAACCACAGCGUCAGCCUUUCGCAUGAAAUGAACACGGUUUUUGUUGGAUUCUGUCGAGG
rnacentral:misc_RNA from 1 species